UACGUAGGGUCCGAGCGUUGUCCGGAAUUAUUGGGCGUAAAGGGCUCGUAGGCGGUUUGUCGCGUCGGGAGUGAAAACACGGGGCUUAACCCCGUGCCUGCUUCCGAUACGGGCAGACUAGAGGUAUGCAGGGGAGAACGGAAUUCCUGGUGUAGCGGUGAAAUGCGCAGAUAUCAGGAGGAACACCGGUGGCGAAGGCGGUUCCCUGGGCAUUACCUGACGCUGAGGAGCGAAAGUGUGGGGAGCGAACAGG
rnacentral:rRNA from 1 species